UUACUAAUCCUUUAGUUAUUUAUGCAGGUUUGGAUUUGAGGACAAAUCCUCUUGAAGAGGGAGAGAAUGAUACGAUCAUGAGUUCCCUAAACAUGUGGAAGGAAACUUAUAAAAAAAUGCAUAAAAAUAUAUUUGGAUGAAGAUGCUUGAGCCAAACUUGAAGCCCAAUUCAUAUGAUAAGAAGCAUCUUUGGGCUGAAUUGUGGUCUAAUAAUAUUGGACUAAAUAAAAAAAUAAUUAAGUCCAAUUUUCUUUAUUUUUAUUGUAAUUUUCGUUUUUGGUAUUAGGAGAGUUUUUAGAUGACCUUUAGUUGCUCCCUAGGCUCUCUAGAUGCUUCCUAGUGGUGCACUAAGUCAUUAGAGUGGCUUGUGGGAAUUUAUAAGCAUGUUAGUGGAAAUUUUCUAAGUCCUAUGAUGAAUGUAUGGUAGUGGACACAAUAAAUCCUACUAUGUAAGGAUAUGCUAUAAAUAGGNNNNNNNNNNNNNNNNNNNNACCGGCAGGUCGCGGUUAGGGUCAAGUUCCUCUAUAUCUUGAU
rnacentral:lncRNA from 1 species